AUCAUUGUCCUCCAAGUGUUCUAGUUGGGUGUUCAGUGUUUGCACAGUUGAAUUUGAAAACAAAGGUCAGAGGCAAGAUUUGUCAGUCACUGUGGCCGUUUCACAAGAACAAUCUUUGGCUAAUGCUCAGAAGUUACAGAAAUAGACUGGUCACUGGCUGAUUAAAAUUGAAAAGCCAAAGAUUUUCCAAGAGGAAAAAAAGGAGGCGAGGACACCUGACUGGCCACUAGAAGAGAGCGUGUCUUGCUGAGGCGUCACUGGAGGUUGGGGCCUGCCUGGACACGGUCCCAGUCUGGGCUCUAGGCGUGUCCCAGUCAGAGCAGCUCCGCCAGGAGGGUGUUUCAUGGCUGCAGGGAAAUUCCAGAGCAGAUCCUGCCACUGCGGCGUUUGCGGAGGGUCGGCCUCCUGAGCAAUGGAGAUGGGAACCGGCUGGGUCUCCAAAGGACUAAGUGACCAGGAAAGUGCUCUGGGAACGCGCAGGAGCGGCACCACAAUAAUAUAACCGUAGUCCCCAUGAUUGCCACUUCCUUCUGUUCUCUGCUCCAGUGCUCCCUUCCUGACCUGCAAAUCUGUCCCCACCGCUCCCUCUCCCGGGUCACCCGGCCUUACACUCUCCCUGGCGGCACCAUGGCUCACAGCACUGCUCUUGUCUAGCAGCUUCCUCUCCACAAGGCAGGGGCCAGGAGGGCAGGGAGUUGCUUUGCUCACUGCUGUGUCCUCGGUGCCUAGAGAACCUGCCCGAAUUUACUGAGCACUCACUAUGUGCCAGACGCUGUAUGAAGUGUUUCAAGUGGGUUAUCUAAUUUCGUCCGCAUGACAACCCUAUGCAGGAUUUUCCCAAAGCAGGAAAAGGAAGCCCAGAGAAGUCGAGAGUCAGUUCAUAGUUGACCCUGACAGUCUUGACCCUCAGCUACCUGCCUGACUUGGCCAUGAGAACUCUCCCUUCCGACCCAGCCCCCACCCCCUGGUCAGGAGAGGGAAGCCCACCCCAGGGAGCUCUGACCUGCUGGAACAUCUCCCCCUGGCACUGAGGUGUCCAUGGCCAAUGACUGCCAGACUGCCUGACCCCCAGCAAGGGAAGCCAGGAAGCAGACCUGGUUGGCUGCAGAAGGGUCCUGUAGUAGGAGGGUGGCAUUUAUUACCAAGAGCCCAGGUUGGCUUAGGAAAGUGAGGGUAGUCUCUGAGUAGACAGAGACGAGGGUGCUUCAACACUUGGACUUGUGAUCACACAGAUAAAGUCCUCAGCUAAAAGACCAAUCUACAGGGCUGGGCGCGGUGGCUGAUGCCUGAAAUCCUAACACUCUGGAAGGCCAAGGCAGGCAGA